rnacentral:lncRNA from 1 species
AGAGUUCUACUACUUAAGAGGUCUACUCUUGAUCCUGUUUGUAUAUAUAUAUAUAUAUAAAUAAUUAUUUUAGGAUCAUGUAAAAUUGCAUUUAGGAGCAUAAGAGCAAUGAAUUAAUGUAGAGCAUUUAAGGAAGGCCAAUGAUGAGACUUGAUCAGUGAUCUAAUCAGUUUAGUAAUACAGAUAAGGAUUGCUAAGUUAGGAAUGUUAACUGUUACUGGUUUUAUUAAAUUUAAGACCCUUUGAUUUUAAUUGUGCACGUCAAUGUAUUGAAUUGGUUAGGUUUAGUUCGAUUUAUUGAACUAGGUGAUCAUUAAGGAUAUAAAGAUCUCUAUCACUUGUUGGAACACAAAAAUAUGAAUAAUCAUUGCUUCGAUGUCUGUCUAAAAUGUAAAGAAAAAAAGAAAUAUAUAAAAUCAAAAUAGACAGAUAUAAGUAGAUAUUGACUAGUUUGUUUUUGUAAACUUUGUCAUUCGAACAAGUAAUUAAGCCCUUAGGAGUGUUUCUACACUUAGUUCCCUAAAGCCAUUUGGUUUGAGAGUCACUGGUAGAAAGCUUGCUACACGGGUGACAUUGAAAAGCCUAAUAAAAAUAAACAUUGCACAAGUCAAGAAUUCAGGGGUUAAAUGAAAAAUCAACGAGAUGGAGCGUAAAUCGCACUCGUUGUACAAUAAAAUAAAAAAAUAGAAAAUAUAUGUGUGAAAACAAGUGUAUAAGAGGAGUAUUAAAGAGUCAUAUAUGAAAAUAAAUAUAUUUUAUUGAGCACUUGGAACAUGGAUUGGAUUAUGAUUUUGAUUAGUUUAUAUGUUGACUACACACACACACGAAAGGGUUGAAAAUAAGAUGAAAUUGAUGAUAUGUUACAUUUCUGCUGGUGCAUGAAUUUGACGUUUUGCUGAAUUGUUAGUUACAGAUUUUUGAGGCCUGAGAUCUAUGAACUAUGUUGAUUUAUUGCUUGAAAUUAAUAGAUUAUGCAUAUGCAUUUAGUUAGGUUAGUGAGUUUUGUUUAUUUUUAUUUCUCUUGUGUUUUUGCUUGAGGACAAACAAAGUCUUGAGUUUUGGGGUAUUUGAUGGGUGAGUUUUAUACCUACGAAUUGGACAUCUCUUAAGCUUAUUUCUUUUCUUACUUUAAGUAUUUUUAGUGUCAUUUUACUUAUUCUAGUGUUUAUUUUGUAGGAAAUGCCUUCGGAGGGUCAAAACAGGAAAAUUGAAGCUCAGUGGCAGUUCUAUAAUUUUGGACUGAUGAGCUAGCUGGGGCGAGUUCCCUAGUACAUUAAGCUCGCCGGGCCAAGCUCCUCUAGUGCAUUGAAUUGUCUGGGGCGAGCUUGGUCGGGAAAAGAUUUUUUGCUAUAUUUUAGAAACGGAGUUCAACAAGAUUUCUUAUGGCUGAUUCGUUUGAAGGACUUCAAGGAGAUUAAAAGACUUGGCAAGGCAUACGAAACAGGGAGAAUUGACGAGGAUUUGAAGACAACACGAGGGCUUUCUGCAGAGAACAACAAGGGAGAACACGAAGGAGGAUUGUCGUAACGCCCGAGAAAAUCAGAUUAUUAUUUGAAUUAAAUUUUAUUUGAUUAUUUGAAUUCAAUGAAUUUAUUUGUUUAUUAGAGUGAGUAAGUUGUUUAAAGGUCGUUAUAUGACCUAGAAUGUGCGAAUGUGGUUAGGAUUCUGGUUGUGUGCUAGAAUUAAAUUAUUUGAAUUUCCAAGAUGAAAAUAAAAGUUUUA